GACGAACGCUGGCGGCGUGCUUAACACAUGCAAGUCGAACGGAAAGGCGCUGCUUUUGUGGGUUUCUCGAUUGGCGAACGGGUGAGUAACACGUGAGGAACCUGCCCUUGACUUUGGGAGAACUUCACGGAACUGCGGCGAUUAUCGGAUAGAAUCUCCUGCUGCAUGUGGGUGGUUGGUAAAAUACGGCGGUUGGGGAUGGACUAGCGGCUUAUCAGCUUGUUGGUGUGGUAGUGGCUUACGAAGGUUUUGAAGGGUAGCCGGCCUGAGAGGGUGACCGGCCACAUUGGGACUGAGAUACGGCGCAGACUCCAACGGGCGGCAGCAGUGGGGAAUAUUACGCAAUAGGCGGAAGCCUGAUGCAGAGACGCCGCGUGCGGGAUGACGGCCUUCGGGUUGUAAACAGAUUUGGCAGGUACCGAAGCGUGAGUGACGGUAAUGGGUAAGAAAGCAACGGCUAACUACGUG
rnacentral:rRNA from 1 species